rnacentral:rRNA from 1 species
UGAGGAAUCUUGCGCAAUGGGGGAAACCCUGACGCAGCCACGCCGCGUGGGUGAAGAAGGCCUUCGGGUCGUAAAGCCCUGUCAAGUGGGAAGAACCGCAGUCGGGCUAAUAUCCUGGCUGCCUGACGGUACCACUGAAGGAAGCACCGGCUAACUCCGUGCCAGCAGCCGCGGUAAUACGGAGGGUGCAAGCGUUGUUCGGAAUUACUGGGCGUAAAGCGCGUGUAGGCGGACCUAUAAGUCAGAUGUGAAAGCCCUGGGCUCAACCCAGGAAGUGCAUCUGAUACUGUAGGCCUUGAGUCCCGGAGAGGGUUGUGGAAUUCCCGGUGUAGAGGUGAAAUUCGUAGAUAUCGGGAGGAACACCAGUGGCGAAGGCGACAACCUGGACGAGGACUGACGC